UCCUACGGGGGGCAGCAGUGAGGAAUAUUGCGCAAUGGGGGAAACCCUGACGCAGCGAUGCCGCGUGAGUGAAGAAGGCCUUCGGGUCGUAAAGCUCUGUCAAGUGGGAAGAACAGCGGUGGGACGAAUAAUCUCGCCGUGUGACGGUACCACUGAAGGAAGCACCGGCUAACUCCGUGCCAGCAGCCGCGGUAAGACGGAGGGUGCGAGCGUUAUUCGGAUUUAUUGGGCGUAAAGAGCGUGUAGGCGGCCGGCCAAGCCAGAUGUGAAAGCCCAGGGCUUAACCCUGGAAGUGCAUUUGGAACUGGUUGGCUUGAGUUCGGGAGAGGGAAGUGGAAUUCCGGGUGUAGAGGUGAAAUUCGUAGAUAUCCGGAGGAACACCGGUGGCGAAGGCGACUUCCUGGACCGAAACUGACGCUGAGACGCGAAAGCGUGGGGAGCAAACAGGAUUAGAUACCCCAGUAGUCCG
rnacentral:rRNA from 1 species